rnacentral:rRNA from 1 species
UAUACAUGCAGUCGAGCGAAUGAUGAGGAGCUUGCUCCUCUGAUUUAGCGGCGGACGGGUGAGUAACACGUGGGUAAUCUGCCUGUAAGACGGGGAUAACUCCGGGAAACCGGGGCUAAUACCGGAUAAUAAGAGAAGAAGCAUUUCUUCUUUUUGAAAGUCGGUUUCGGCUGACACUUACAGAUGAGCCCGCGGCGCAUUAGCUAGUUGGUGAGGUAACGGCUCACCAAGGCGACGAUGCGUAGCCGACCUGAGAGGGUGAUCGGCCACACUGGGACUGAGACACGGCCCAGACUCCUACGGGAGGCAGCAGUAGGGAAUCUUCGGCAAUGGGCGAAAGCCUGACCGAGCAACGCCGCGUGAGCGAUGAAGGCCUUCGGGUCGUAAAGCUCUGUUGUUAGAGAAGAACAAGUACGAGAGUAACUGCUCGUACCUUGACGGUACCUAACCAGAAAGCCACGGCUAACUACGUGCCAGCAGCCGCGGUAAUACGUAGGUGGCAAGCGUUAUCCGGAAUUAUUGGGCGUAAAGCGCGCGCAGGCGGUCUCUUAAGUCUGAUGUGAAAGCCCACGGCUCAACCGUGGAGGGUCAUUGGAAACUGGGAGACUUGAGUGCAGGAGAGAAAAGUGGAAUUCCACGUGUAGCGGUGAAAUGCGUAGAGAUGUGGAG